AGGGAAGAGAUAGUAAAUUACUUAAGGGGGGAAAAAGAACCUUUAGUACUCCUUAAACAUCCAUUGUACUUCUUUAGAUGUGAGUCUGCGAUCAAAGCAGAAAUCCUCCAGGUAAGCAAAACACUUGGCCCCCUCCUUCUUUUGACCCAUGCUGCUUUGAUUUCUUUCCAGACUAAACACUGCAAACCCCUCUGACCUUGAGCUAUGUGCUUUUGUAGUGAUAAAGAUCUGUAAUCUGGGCAAGGUGGGUGAAAAGGAUUCCUUAUCUCCAGCGAGCCAUUUUAUGAAGUGCAGCCAAUAAGAAAUCAAUAAGAGGCUACUACACAAUAUGAUUAAGUAAUGCAUAGAUAAAAGAGCAGAGAGAGAGGAUCAGAGAGUCGAGCAAACUGGGUCCCUCAAAUGAUAUAUCAGCUCGUUGUUAUUUUGUACCUACAGCAAGGACUUAUGGGUGCAUCUGUCACACUUUACGACCGUGGUUGAAAUGUUGGACUGAAGACAGAAGCAGAGUUUGAUGAUAGUGUUGUGCUCUGAACUAGAUACAUGGAUGCAGGAAUAAUAUCAGUCACAUGGAUGGUGCUUAAGAUUCCAAAGCAGCUGGGUACCCCACCCCACUUAGAGCCAACAUGACCACUACUUUGCUCUGCACUAGGAUUCAGCAACACCAGCCUUUCCCUCAGCUAGAUGACCAUUAACUCGAGAAAGGACUGUUUUACCUUUAAAUAGGGGAAGAGUUGAGUAACACUCUUGAAUCUUGUAUCCAAAGAUUCCCUAGGACUGAAGGAAAGACUUCUUCCAUGAAAGCAAGAGAGCUUUUUGAUCCAGCCCACUCUGAGAGCCAACAUUAUCCUCUAACAUAGUCUAUUCCUUUUAAAUGCCUCCUUCACAAUUGAUGCCACCAACUUCGGAACUCUCUCCCCAGAAAGGUUUGCCUGGCUGCAAUAACAGCAGCAAGAAUAUUAUUGGCCCAAAAAUGGAAGCAAGAAGAAUUACCGACGAUUGAAGAAUGGAGGAUGAAGUUAAUGGACUAUGCAGAACUAGAUAAACUAACAGGAAGGAUUUGAAACCGGCGGGACCAGAAAUUCACGGAAGACGAGUAAAUUUACGGACUAUUUGAAAAGUAUUUGUGCAGAUCAGAUGACGUUUGUAGGUUUGCAAGAAGUUUUGUGAGGAGUAUUAUUGCA
rnacentral:lncRNA from 1 species